GCCAGUGAAGGGAUGCCAAAGUAGGAGUUAUAUGCUCCCUCUUACGAGUACCAGUCAAGAGGCGAGCAGCGGCAUUCUGUACCAGCUGAAGGCGCUUGAUGGAGGACUGGCUGACUCCAAAGUACAGGGCGUUGCAGUAAUCGAGCCGGGAUGUGACAAAGGCAUGAAUUACUGUCUCAAAGUGUUCAUGUGAGAGGAAAGGUUUUAUUUUGGCCAGCUGUCUAAGGUGAAAGAAGCUGGAUUUAACAACGGCACCAAUUUGCCGAUCGAGUUUGAAAUCACUGUCCAGUUUAAGUCCCAAGUUUGAGACCGCAGAGAAAGGUGGAGGAGCAAGCAGGGAGUAAAAUGUUUCAAAUAGUUUUGUUUUUGACAGCCAGCAUGUGGAUUUAGGGCUGUUGUGGUGGCUUUAGAGUGCCUUGUUGAUGGCCAUGAGUGCAUCACACAGAAGUCCAACGUGACACCCCUCAUUGUCGCUUUCAGUUGUGGGUUCUCAAAACUUUUUCCUGUGUUGUCGAACAUGUCCACCCAGUUACGUCUCCAUCGGUGAAACUGGUGAUUCGGGUGUUUUUCUUCCCCCC